rnacentral:rRNA from 1 species
CCUACGGGAGGCAGCAGUGGGGAAUAUUGGACAAUGGGCGAAAGCCUGAUCCAGCAAUGCCGCGUGAGUGAUGAAGGCCUUCGGGUCGUAAAGCUCUUUUACCAGGGAUGAUAAUGACAGUACCUGGAGAAUAAGCUCCGGCUAACUCCGUGCCAGCAGCCGCGGUAAUACGGAGGGAGCUAGCGUUGUUCGGAAUUACUGGGCGUAAAGAGUACGUAGGCGGUUAUUCAAGUCAGAGGUGAAAGCCCGGGGCUCAACCCCGGAACUGCCUUUGAAACUAGAUAACUAGAGUCUUGGAGAGGUUAGUGGAAUUCCGAGUGUAGAGGUGAAAUUCGUAGAUAUUCGGAAGAGCACCAGUGGCGAAGGCGACUAACUGGACAAGUACUGACGCUGAGGUACGAAAGCGUGGGGAGCAAACAGGAUUAGAUACCCUGGUAGUCCACGCCGUAAACGAUGAUAACUAGUUGUUCGGUCACUGUGAUGAGUGACGCAGCUACGCAUUAAGUUAUCCGCCGUCGGGUAGGUACGGUCGCGAGAUAAACUACAAAUAGAAGUUAGACGGUCGUGUAGACGUUGUCCGACGGACGACGACGAGGGAGGUAGG